UGGGGAAUAUUGCACAAUGGAGGGAACUCUGAUGCAGCGACGCCGCGUGAACGAAGAAGGCUUUCGAGUCGUAAAGUUCUUUUAUAUGGGAAGAUAAUGACGGUACCAUAAGAAAAAGCCCCGGCUAACUACGUGCCAGCAGCCGCGGUAAUACGUAGGGGGCUAGCGUUGUCCGGAAACACUGGGCGUAAAGGGUUCGCAGGCGGAAAUGCAAGUCAGGUGUAAAAGGCAGUAGCUUAACUACUGUAAGCAUUUGAAACUGCAUAUCUUGAGAAGAGUAGAGGUAAGUGGAAUUUUUAGUGUAGCGGUGAAAUGCGUAGAUAUUAAAAAGAAUACCGGUGGCGAAGGCGGCUUACUGGGCUCAUUCUGACGCUGAGGAACGAAAGCGUGGGUAGCAAACAGG
rnacentral:rRNA from 1 species